rnacentral:rRNA from 1 species
UACGUAGGGCGCAAGCGUUGUCCGGAAUUACUGGGCGUAAAGCGCGUGUAGGCUGCUUUGCAAGUCGGAUGUGAAAGCCCUGGGCUCAACCUAGGAAGUGCACUCGAAACUGCAAAGCUUGAGUCUCGGAGAGGAUCGCGGAAUUCUCGGUGUAGAGGUGAAAUUCGUAGAUAUCGAGAGGAACACCGGUGGCGAAGGCGGCGAUCUGGACGAUGACUGACGCUGAGACGCGAAAGCGUGGGGAGCAAACAGG